rnacentral:rRNA from 1 species
GACGUAGGGCGCGAGCGUUGUCCGGAUUUAUUGGGCGUAAAGAGCUCGUAGGCGGCUUGUUGCGUCGACUGUGAAAACCCGCGGCUUAACCGCGGGCUUGCAGUUGAUACGGGCAGGCUAGAGUUCGGUAGGGGAGACUGGAAUUCCUGGUGUAGCGGUGGAAUGCGCAGAUAUCAGGAGGAACACCGGUGGCGAAGGCGGGUCUCUGGGCCGUUACUGACGCUGAGGAGCGAAAGCGUGGGGAGCGAACAGG